ensembl:lncRNA
GAGUCCUCAUCUCUCUGCAGGAGGCCCAAAGUUGUCUCUCUCAGUCUCUGUGUCACUGCUCCCUCUUUCUGUUUCCCAGUUCCCUUGCUUUGCCUGCUCUCUUCUACUUUCCGUCUCUAUCACCAGACUUGCACUGCCUUUCUCUUUUCUUAAUAACUGUGAGCCUUACUUAGCCCCCAACUAUGAAAAAGCUUAAAGCAUUUCACAGGACCCCUGCUUCCCUCCCUCUGCUUCAGAGGAGCAGGACAAGUUGUGGGGAGGGACCAGCUGGCAACUCUUUUAAGAGAGAUGCAGUGGGGGAGGGUGAGAGACUGUUCAGUGCCAAGGGAUGAGGAUGGACAAAGGAAAGGAGGGUUGAGGUGGGAGGUGGAAGUUGGAGGGGGCAGGCAGUGGCUGCAGAAGGAUUGACGAGAAAAGGAGUAUUGAGGUGAGAGCAAGCAUAUUUCUGUUGCCCUUUUUGGAUUGGUAGAUGCUCCCAACUGUUUCCUCUCACUUUAAGAUGUCCUCCACAGAGGCCUUUGGAAAAGAGGGAAGAAGGGAACCAGGGUUUCCCUUCAAACCUCACAUCUGAGCUAGGCCUUUAUCUGACCUGGCUGCCCUUCUUCUGGGAGACUUGAGACUCCACUUUCUACAUUUCCCUCCCAGGGAGAACCUCCUCACCUCAUCCCUUGCUCUUCUAAUCAAGGAAACAAUUUGAGGUCUAAAAGAGGAAGUAAAUUCCAAAUCAGAUUGAUAAAAGAGUAGAAAUCAUUCUGGGAGUUGGGGAAAUGCAGUCUCCCUAGUUAAUAGCUGAAGUCACCAAUAGUCAAUUAUAAAUACAGAAGGAAAGGGAUGGAGCAAAAGUGCCUCAAAUUGUACUAUCAAGUGCAGUAAUUGUUUAGGCCUCAGCGUCCCAAUUCAUCCCUGAACCUUGCUACCUUCUCCUAUGUAGCAGAAAGAUGAAAACUUUCCAGAUUUCCUGCUGGCUUCCCUGGUGGCUCAGCAGUAUAGAAUCCUCUUGCAGUGCAGAAGACAUGGGUUCAAUCCCUGAGUCUGGAAGAUCCCGUGGAGGAGGAAAUGGCAGCAUUCUUGUCUGGGAAAUCCUAUGGACUGAGAGAAAAGGCAACGUGGGUUCU